CCUACGGGCGGCAGCGUGAGGGAUUAUUGCUCAAUGGCGGAAACCCUGAAGCAGCAAGGCCGCGUGAGGGAUGAGGGCUUUAGGGUUUUAAACUCCUUUUUUUAGGGAAAAUUCUGCCUUUAUCUAACGAAUUAGCACCGGCUAACUCAGUGCCAGCAGCCGCGGUAAUACGGAGGGUGCCGGCGUUACUCGGAUUUACUGGGCGUAAAGGGUGCGUAGGCGGGAUAAUAAGUCUGCUGUGAAAUGCUCGGGCUCAACUAGAGACCUGCAGCGGAAACUGGCGCGCUUGAGUGCGCGGAAGGCAGGCGGAAUUCGUGGUGUAGCGGUAAAAUGCUUAGAGAUGACGAAGAACCCCGAUUGCGAAGGCAGCUUGCUGCAGCAGAACUGACGCUGAUGCUCGAAAGCGCGGGUAUCGAACAGGAUUAGAUACCCUGGUAGUC
rnacentral:rRNA from 1 species